GAAUUACUGUUACUAAUGAUGUGAGUAUAAAUGCACUUUUUGAACUCUAUUACGAUUAUUUAAGAACAACUCUAUAAUGAAUAAUGUAAUAAUAAUGGUACAUACUUAUAUAUUAUAUGAUUAAUUGUACCUAAUUAAACUUUUCUGUUAUUAUUCAACAGAUUGAAGAGAAUACAAAAGGACUCUCAUCAUUAAACUACUCUUUUAGUGGAAGUACUAGUAGCUUAGAAAGCAUUCGAUCGCCUACAAUGGAAAUUAACCGCAAAGCUGAUGGGGCUAAAAAAACUUUGUUGAAAUGGGUCGGCAAUGUGAUACCCAAGUAUGCAUCUAUUGGAUAAUAUUUUAUUAAAUUAUUAUAUUAAGUUAAUAAUAUUAUUUUAACUUAGGGAAAGUAAUAUAAAAGUUAAAGAUUUUGGACCAAGUUGGAGAGAUGGUAUAGCUUUCCUCACUAUCAUAGAUACUAUACAAACUAAUUUAGUUGACAUAAGAACUUUGAGAAAUGAAACUAACCGUACUAGAUUAGAAACUGCAUUUAACGUUGCUGAAAACAAUUUAGGAAUCACUCGCUUGUUGGAUCCUGAAGUAUGUUUUAAAUGAAAUGGUUAUUAAUUUGUCUUAAAUUAAAAUUGUUGUUUUAAUUAUUUUAAAUGUAUUUUUAGGAUGUUGAUGUAGAUCGACCAGAUGAAAGAUCUGUUAUGACUUAUGUAGCGCAAUUUGUUCAUAAAUAUCCUGAAAUUCGGAGUGAUGGUGGAGAAUCAAUUGAUAAAAUACAAAAAGAUUAUAAUCUACUUUUAGCGUGGUUAUCAGAAAAAACACAAUUUUUAUCUUGGCCACAGAAUUUAUCUCAAGAUUUUUCGGUUAAAAUAAUAAAUGUUUAUUAUAAAACAGUUAUUUAUUAGGAAUUAUUUUUAGGAAUUUUCAAAAGCUCAAGAAGAAGUCACAGCUAUGAGUAGUUUGUACAACAAAUUAAAGAAAAUACAUAAUUCUGGUUCAUCAAUUAAUAUUUCAGUACAAUCAUGGAAAGAAUUGGAAAGGCUUUGGGCACAAUUAGAAUCUUUAGUAAUAUAUAAUUUACCUAUAAAUUUAAAAAAACAUGAAUUUUUAAUUUUUAAAAACAAAAUUAUUAUAAAAUGUUCUUACAGAUGAAAAAUUGGCAAUGGCAGAUUGAUCUCUGUUUGCCAGAGCCAUUUAAAGUGAUUGGAGAAUGGAUAAUUAAAGCCGAGCAGCUCAUAACUGAUACUAAUAUUCCAUUAUUAAUGAAUGAAGACACUGCAGUGAUAAUCAGCAGAAAAUUAGAAGACCACAAGGUAGGGAUUCUAUAUAGAUUAAAUUCAAAAGAGUAUUAAUUUUAAUAAUACUGUUUUACAGUCAUUUUUUUCUGAUUUACCUGAAGUUAAACAAAAAUUUAAUGAGCUGUUAAUAAAAACAAAAAGCCAAAAUAAAGAAGUGAUUGAUUUAUCUAGACGUCUUAAUGCUAUUGAAAUAGAUUCACAUAAGCGGAGAACUUAUUUAAAAUUUUUAGAACACAAGGUAAAUUUUUUGCAUUUAUUCAAACUAAUUAUUAGUAAAAUAAUAUUUUAGAAAUACAAAAACCUUAAAUUAAAAUUCAACGCAAGUAUAUAACAACUUAUAUGGACUGAAAUGAAACUAAAAGCAUGGAUCAUUAGGGUAGAAAUUAAAACAUAUAUUUUUUUUUUAGUGUUGUUUAAUUGCAUUUUUGAAUUUAACUGAAAACAAAUUAAAAGCAUGGACUGUUAAAUAUGGCCAUCAACAAGAUGUUUUGCAGCUUCUCGAGAAAUACAAUAAUUUCGUUGUAGGGAAUAAUAUAUUCCAAGAAUUUAAUAAAGCAUUUAUAGAUAUGCAAAAUGUUGUACAAGAGUAUAAACAUGAAUGCAAUGUAGAGUAUAAAGAAUCAGUUUCUAUUGAAAAAUUUAUGAAACAAACUGCUGAACAAUGGAAAAGUAUUGCAAUGGAAUUAAGAUGUGCCCAGAGUAUGCUUGAGGAAGUAAUUUCAUAUUGGAGAAGAUGGAAGGCAUUAUCUCAAGAUAUAAAAAUGUGGUUAGCAGAUGCUGUUAAAAAAAUUAAUUUACCACAUGAACAACGAAUCAAUUUUUUCC
rnacentral:lncRNA from 1 species